rnacentral:rRNA from 1 species
CCAAAGAGUCUGGAAUAACCGGCCGAAAGGCUGGCUAAUACUGGAUAGAUCAAGUGAGAUAUAACGUCUCGAUUGGGAAAGGGAGCGGGUAACCGCCUUCGCUUUUUGAUGAGCCCGCGUCUGAUUAGCUAGUUGGUGAGGUAAUGGCUCACCAAGGCUGAGAUCAGUAGCUGGUCUGAGAGGAUGAUCAGCCACACUGGAACUGAAACACGGUCCAG